ensembl:lncRNA
AAUGUGAGUAAGUGAUGACAGAAUUUUUUAUUUUGCAUUACAGAUCCCUUUAAUUUUGGAACCACAUACACACAUAGGUAAACUGUGAUUGUCACACAACAGCAAACACUCCAUUCAUAUAGAAAGGGUACAGGUGUUCAUGUUAAUAUGAACAUACUCAAAAGAAAAUAAACAUCCAAGCAUGUAUAAUUGGAAUACAAAAUCUUUACAGAGGCUUGUCUGAUCACUUACUCUUUGACAACAAAAACACGUUGAGGUAAAUUAGGCAUAGAUUGAUAGACACACUCGCAUCUGCUCAGGUAAGUAAUACAGAGAAACAUUGUUUCACACGGCUCUGCUAAUUAAUGAUGAAUGAACUGCUGCACCACGUUCAAAUGAUGUCUGAUCUCUGAGGAGAGAACUCGUACUGACUAACAAACAUUCCAUUCAUAUUCCUCUCUCUCGCUCUCUGCCUAGGGCCUACAUUUGACUCUGAAGACUUUGCAAAACACAAUUUAAAAGACAAGGCAAAACAUCAUAAAAUAAACACUCCACGACACAAGCAGUCCAUGUUCAUCUACAUAUAAAGAGACUUUCUCUCGUAGAAAUAGCAAUCUUCUCUCUGGUGUAGUUUAAACAUCAUUCGUUAUUACUGGGAUGCUCAUAUCCGCUUUUUCUUCUAGAAAAUUACUUAAUAAUUUGAGUUUACAACAGAUUUGAACUGCCGCUGUGGAUAGAGAACAUGUAUUAAGACUCCAUUAGUCAAAUAUCUGUUGCUCAGAUUAUCAAUAGAUCUUAAGUGCUUAACGGGCAUUCGGCACUAAUCUCAAUGUGAAUGUCUGAUGAACAUCUGCCAGCCCUAUCUGCCAAGAACCAUUAGUGUAGUCAUAAAACUCCAAUGUGUGCAGCCUUACACCUUUAAAAUGAGCUGCAAUGGGUUUCCAUGCAGUCACAGCCAACUCAGCAGACAAGGAUUUGGAAAUAGUUUAUAUAUUGUGAUAUUGGUUGGAAAAUGAACAAUUUUUUGCAGCUGUUUGAUAGACGCUGUAUCAAACCCAGGAUUUCUGGCUUGCAUCCAUUUAUUGAAAAGGCAGGAUGUUCCUCUGCUCUAACUGCUAUUGAUGUAUGGAGCAUUCUCACAAAAAUAUGGAGACAUAUACAGCAUGUGCCAGCAUUUGUGAUUAGCCUGGCCUUUGCGUCUGAUUCUCCACUGCGUCCACCCCUGCAAGGGCAAGCAUGACUUCCUGAGACUGCCGUGGCAAAACUCACUUUACAGAUUACACGCACCAUGGCAACAUGAACCUCAGCUUUCACGGAUCAACUUAACCAGCACGCUAAUUAGCAAGUACACUAACCUAGCUGUCUAAAAUGCCAGAAGGCUAAGGGAACUUUUAAACGUGUUCCAGAAAUAUAGCACCUAAUGAAGUCAGGUGGUCAGAGCUGCCCCGUUCAUUCUCGUCUCAGCAUAAACAGGUGUUUUAGCGUUCGCAAAUGAACAAGGCCUGUCUGUCCAAAUCUACACAUUUCCAUCCUUGCUUUUGUUUUAAUCUAAUCUUUUUAGAUGAAAUGAGCUGGUAAUGAACGUUAACCUAUUUUACAGUUCUGUCGUCAUUGAAUAAUUGAUGUCACACAUUCUUGCUGAGAAAGAAAUAAUAUGUAGACAUAUUAAAAUAACUUUCCAAAGAUAAAAUAAAACUGAUUAAAAAAAGGGAUGAGUGAAAUUAAAGAGCAAGCAAGAGAGGGGCCCUUAGGGUUUAGCUUCCUAUUUAAAUGAAGAGAUAAAGCAGAGAGAGUUCUGUGAAGUUAGUAGACCAUUUAUUAAAUACUAGGGUCUACGCUGCUUCUGUAGUAUUUAUGAAGGCUGUUAACCAUUCAGCCUCGUCUCCUUUAUUUUAUUAAAACCUGAGACUCUCUGACCCUCCAGUUAAACAACCUUGAGAUUAAUACUCACUGAUUUAACCAUAAUUGCUCUAAUAAAAUAAUAGUUAUUACUAUUGCAGCACUCCUGGAUGUGACGGAUGAACAACAGGGUGGGUUGACAAAAAUGACAAGCUCUUCUGUCGCAGAUUUAACCCUUCCUUGGAGCCACAGGAUUUAAAGCUACUGCCUAAUGCUUU